rnacentral:tRNA from 1 species
GGAGACGUGGGUGAGUGGCUGAAACCAACGGUUUGCUAAACCGUCGUGGGGGGAUUACUCCCACCGAGGGUUCGAAUCCCUCCGUCUCCG